UACGAAGGGGGCUAGCGUUGCUCGGAAUCACUGGGCGUAAAGGGUGCGUAGGCGGGUCUUUAAGUCAGGGGGGAAAUCCUGGAGCUCAACUCCAGAACUGCCUUUGAUACUGAGGAUCUUGAGUUCGGGAGAGGUGAGUGGAACUGCGAGUGUAGAGGUGAAAUUCGUAGAUAUUCGCAAGAACACCAGUGGCGAAGGCGGCUCACUGGCCCGAUACUGACGCUGAUGCACGAAAGCGUGGGGAGCAAACAGG
rnacentral:rRNA from 1 species